rnacentral:rRNA from 1 species
CGGGUGAGGAACACAUCGGGAAAUCUACCCUGUCGUGGGGGACAACGUAGGGAAACUUACGCUAAUACCGCAUACGACCUUUGGGUGAAAGCGGGGGACUCGCAAGAGCCUCGCGCGAUUGGAUGAGCCGAUGUCCGAUUAGCUAGUUGGCGGGGUAAUGGCCCACCAAGGCGACGAUCGGUAGCUGGUCUGAGAGGACGACCAGCCACACUGGAACUGAGACACGGUCCAG